rnacentral:misc_RNA from 1 species
GGAAGAACACUGAUCACUUUUUUAGUAUCUUGUCCAAGAGGUACAUACUUCAUUUCUUCUGUUGAUGCAUCUGAUAUAGUUGAAGAUGCUUCGGACCUUUUCAAGUUACUGGACCGAUUUGUCGAGGAGGUGGGUGAAGAAAAUGUCGUGCAGGUUGUUACCCAGAACACCCCAAGCUAUAGAGCUGCUGGAAAGAUGCUAGAGGAGAGAAGGAGACAUUUAUUUUGGACAC